rnacentral:misc_RNA from 1 species
AACUUUUAGCAAUGGAUCUCUUGGCUCUCGCAUCGAUGAAGAACGCAGCGAAUUGCGAUGAGUAAUGUGAAUUGCAGAAUUCAGUGAAUCAUCGAAUCUUUGAACGCACCUUGCGCUCCUAGGUAUUCCGAGGAGCAUGCCUGUUUGAGUGUCAUUAAUAUAUAAAUCAACCCUCUCUUGAUGAGUGGUUUGGAUGUGGGGGUUUGCUGGCGGCCUCUUGGAGGAUUGAUUCAGCUCCCCUGAAAUGCAUUAGCAGAACAAACCCGUUCAUUGGUGUGAUAACUAGCUACGCUAUUGAAUGUGAGGUGGCAGUUCAGCUUUCUAACAGUCUUUGGACAAAUUCAUCAUUAAUGUGGCCUCAAAUCAGGUAGGACUACCCGCUGAACUUAAGCAUAUCAAUAAGCGGAGGCU